rnacentral:rRNA from 1 species
GACGAACGCUGGCGGCGUGCUUAACACAUGCAAGUCGAACGGAAAGGCCCUGCUUGCAGGGUGCUCGAGUGGCGAACGGGUGAGUAACACGUGGGUGAUCUGCCCCUUACUUUGGGAUAAGCCUGGGAAACUGGGUCUAAUACUGGAUAGGACCAUGCUGUAGGUGGUGUGGUGGAAAGAUUAGUUUCGGUAAGGGAUGAGCUCGCGGCCUAUCAGCUUGUUGGUGGGGUAAUGGCCUACCAAGGCGUCGACGGGUAGCCGGCCUGAGAGGGUGGACGGCCACAUUGUGACUGAGAUACUGCCCAGACUCCUACGGGAGGCAGCAGUGGGGAAUAUUGCACAAUGGGCGCAAGCCUGAUGCAGCGACGCCGCGUGGGGGAUGACGGCCUUCGGGUUGUAAACUCCUUUCAGCCAUGACGAAGCCCUUGUGGUGACGGUAGUGGUAGAAGAAGCACCGGCUAACUACGUG